UUAAUUUACUCAUUUCGCUUUAAAAUAAACUAUUUGCAAUCUUGUAACUAGCAGUAGUAAUUUAAGAUAAUUGGCCAGUGAUGUAAUAGUGGCUUGAAAGAUAGUAUAUCAUUAGAAGUAUGAACAAAUUGACAAAAUUAUCUCAGUAAUUAAACACAAGAUCUUGUGGGUUUUACAUUCAUAUGUAUUGCUAUUCAGUUGACCAAAUCUUGGCUAAUAGAGCUUCAAGUUGAGAGUGAACGAGCCAAGAAGUCAAAACUGUGUCUGAUUCUAUUGUUAAGAAAGGUCACAGAUGUUGGUAAACAUUCCAUUAAAGGGUUAACUGUCUAAAUUAGUCCACAAGUCAGUUGCUCCGCGUUCGCCAUGAAGCCGGAACUGCAGAUGUUCUUUCUUGUCACCUUGGUCUCAGUUGGUAUCUUCUCCAACUUGAGGACUUCCACAGCUCUCCCAGAGGCCCUGCCCAGCCCACCAACACAGGCUGCUCGGAAUAUCUCAGACUUAUGGACUCGUCUUCAGGCCGCCCGUACUAAUACCCACACUGCAGAACUCAUUCGUGUACCAAAAAGGUCUUGUAGACCUGGAGAGAGAUUUGCAUAUGGCAGAUGUCGCCGCCAGUGGUGAUGAUUACACACAAGAUUAUAAAUUUUGCACCGAUGACACUAGGUAGCAGUAGGUUACUUUAUUACUAUGAUAUGUAACUAAACAAUAUUUUAACUGUUUAUUGGAUUGUAAUCAAAGUAUAAUAUUUAACUAUGAUAUAUUGUACUAUUUGAACACAAAUAUGUAUUAAAAGUUUGUUAUUAUUA